rnacentral:rRNA from 1 species
UACGUAGGUGGCAAGCGUUGUCCGGAUUUAUUGGGUUUAAAGGGUGCGUAGGCGGCCUUAUAAGUCAGUGCUGAAAUAUCCCGGCUUAACCGGGAGGGUGGCAUUGAUACUGUAGGGCUUGAGUGUAGUCGAGGUAGGCGGAAUUGACGGUGUAGCGGUGAAAUGCUUAGAUAUCGUCAAGAACACCGAUAGCGAAGGCAGCUUACCAAGCUGUAACUGACACUGAGGCACGAAAGUGUGGGGAGCAAACAGG